GACGAACGCUGGCGGCGUGCCUAAUACAUGCAAGUCGAGCGGAUGACGGGAGCUUGCUCCUUGAUUCAGCGGCGGACGGGUGAGUAAUGCCUAGGAAUCUGCCUGGUAGUGGGGGACAACGUUUCGAAAGGAACGCUAAUACCGCAUACGUCCUACGGGAGAAAGCAGGGGACCUUCGGGCCUUGCGCUAUCAGAUGAGCCUAGGUCGGAUUAGCUAGUUGGUGGGGUAAUGGCUCACCAAGGCGACGAUCCGUAACUGGUCUGAGAGGAUGAUCAGUCACACUGGAACUGAGACACGGUCCAGACUCCUACGGGAGGCAGCAGUGGGGAAUAUUGGACAAUGGGCGAAAGCCUGAUCCAGCCAUGCCGCGUGUGUGAAGAAGGUCUUCGGAUUGUAAAGCACUUUAAGUUGGGAGGAAGGGCAGUAAGUUAAUACCUUGCUGUUUUGACGUUACCGACAGAAUAAGCACCGGCUAACUCCGUGCCAGCCGCCGCAGUAAAAC
rnacentral:rRNA from 1 species